rnacentral:rRNA from 1 species
CCCUUAGAUGUUCUGGGCCGCACGCGCGCUACACUGAUUCAUGCAACAAGUUUUGUCCUUGGCUGAUAGGCCUGGGUAAUCUUUGAACGUGAAUCGUGAUGGGGAUAGAUGAUUGCAAUUAUUCAUCUUCAACGAGGAAUUCCUAGUAAACGCAAGUCAUCAGCUUGCAUUGAUUACGUCCCUGCCCUUUGUACACACCGCCCGUCGCACCUACCGAUUGAAUGGUCCGGUGAAAUCUUCGGAUCUGAGAGAUGUCUGAUUAAUUUCGGACGCCUUUUGGAAAAGUUGCUUAAACCUUACCAUUUAGAGGAAGGUGAANUCGCAACA